AGCAGUGGUGAAGGUUCACGCGCUGGAUGACCGCGUCUUCUGUGGUCCUCUCCACCACUCCACUUUCGUUCGUUCAUUCAUUCGUUCAUUUCCCUUUCGUUGCGCCAGUCGCUGCGCCGGCUCUCGGGAUGAGCCGGAGCAGGCUCAACCCCUUGUCUCAAGGAGCUCGUGGUCGCGUAGAGAACACAAACUAGGACAGUGUGGUGUCCGUGGGGAAAGAGUCAGGCAUGGUUAUUCCCAUCUUAAAGGAGGGACCUGGGGCCACCUUAGAACCAAAAGUGACGCCCAAGAUGUGCAUUAAAGCUCCGGGGACCAGGGUCCCGCCCCACUGCAGCGGUUUCCAAGGAUUUCAGAGAAACUUUUUGUUUUCCAUGUCAAAUGUGGGCUAUUAAAAAUAAAUCAGGAGCACACGUCUUCCCUCUCUUUGCACCUGAUGCUUUUGAACUGAAGUUCAUCAGCACUGAAUGAGCACUUGCUAGUCACCCAACUUUGUGCUGGAGGGUGAAGAGAUGGCCAUGGAUAGAAAAUCCCUCCCCUCCAGGCGUUGAGAUUCCGUGGGAGUCUCUCGUUGCCACCUCAGUGUUUCCACCUCCAUGCUUCCAAGAAGGAGGAGGCUACCAGGGCCAGAGACAGGGAAUGGGGCACGGAGAAGGUAGGUCAGCUCGCCUUUGAAGAAGCCCUAAGAUGGGCUGUGGCCACCACUUCCCCAGUCCCCAACCCUGCCAGUGGAUUGUCUUCCAAAAGAAAAAAAGCUGUAUUUAGUAGAAGAGAGCCCUAUCUUCUGUCCAGGUAAUAUGGAUUGAA
rnacentral:lncRNA from 1 species